GACGAACGCUGGCGGCGUGCUUAACACAUGCAAGUCGAACGGAAAGGCCCUGCUUUUGUGGGGUGCUCGAGUGGCGAACGGGUGAGUAACACGUGAGUAACCUGCCCUUGACUUUGGGAUAACUUCAGGAAACUGGGGCUAAUACCGGAUAGGAGCUCCUGCUGCAUGGUGGGGGUUGGAAAGUUUCGGCGGUUGGGGAUGGACUCGCGGCAUAUCAGCUUGUUGGUGGGGUAGUGGCUUACCAAGGCUUUGACGGGUAGCCGGCCUGAGAGGGUGACCGGCCACAUUGGGACUGAGAUACGGCCCAGACUCCUACGGGAGGCAGCAGUGGGGAAUAUUGCACAAUGGGCGGAAGCCUGAUGCAGCAACGCCGCGUGCGGGAUGACGGCCUUCGGGUUGUAAACCGCUUUCGCCAGUGACGAAGCGUGAGUGACGGUAAUGGGUAAAGAAGCACCGGCUAACUACGUG
rnacentral:rRNA from 1 species